rnacentral:rRNA from 1 species
CGCGUAGGUGGUUUGUUAAGUUGGAUGUGAAAGCCCCGGGCUCAACCUGGGAACUGCAUCCAAAACUGGCAAGCUAGAGUACGGUAGAGGGUGGUGGAAUUUCCUGUGUAGCGGUGAAAUGCGUAGAUAUAGGAAGGAACACCAGUGGCGAAGGCGACCACCUGGACUGAUACUGACACUGAGGUGCGAAAGCGUGGGAGCAAACA